rnacentral:rRNA from 1 species
AUUGAACGCUGGCGGCAGGCCUAACACAUGCAAGUCGAGCGGAUGAAGGGAGCUUGCUCCUGGAUUCAGCGGCGGACGGGUGAGUAAUGCCUAGGAAUCUGCCUGGUAGUGGGGUAUAACGUCCGGAAACGGGCGCUAAUACCGCAUACGUCCUGAGGGAGAAAGUUGGGGAUCUUCGGACCUCACGCUAUCAGAUGAGCCUAGGUCGGAUUAGCUAGCUGGUGGGGUAAAGGCCUACCUAGGCGACGAUCCGUAACUGGUCUGAGAGGAUGAUCAGUCACCCUGGGACUGGGACACGGUCCAGACUCCUACGGGAGGCAGCCGUGGGGAAUAGUGGACAAUGGGUGAAAGCCUGAUCCAGACAUGCCGCGUGUGUAAAGAAGGUCUUCGGAUUGUAAAGCACUUUAAGUUGGGAGGAAGGGGAGUAAGUAAAUACCUUGCUGUUUUGACGUUACCAACAGAAUAAGCACCGGCUAACUUCGUUC